UGGGAUCUGGCAAAGGCUGAGUAUUCAUUCAGGAAGCGAGCAAACAACUGGUGGAAUCUCUUCACAGUGUCAUGGACAGUUUAUUCAUUGUUAAGCAUCCACAAGACCCUCAAACCUGGACAGAACAUGAAAGAACAUUGUUCCUGCCCCAUCUUCUAAAUAAGUCAGAGUACCCCAAGGAAGGAUCAGCAGAACUUUCUUCUGCCUGUAGCAGGCAUGACGUUGUCUAAUGAAGACACAGGGUGCUGCAGACCCAGAUAAAACACAAAGGACAUGACGUAUGCCUGGAGAGACGCAUCUGGGGGCACAGAAACCCACCCCGGAUGUCUUCAUUCUCCAUGUCUGCAUAUUCGAUCACCUAGAAAACGUUUGUGGGCCGCCGGUGUUUAUUUGUUUCACCCAUAUACCUCAGAUGGAACAAUUGCGGACCCAUGAUGAAUGUGCCUGGUAAUCAAACUUCAAAUUAAGCAGAGAAUAACGUGCUUCCAUGUCUG